GAUGAACGCUGGCGGCGUGCCUAAUACAUGCAAGUCGAGCGAACAGACGAGGAGCUUGCUCCUCUGACGUUAGCGGCGGACGGGUGAGUAACACGUGGAUAACCUACCUAUAAGACUGGGAUAACUUCGGGAAACCGGAGCUAAUACCGGAUAACAUGUUGAACCGCAUGGUUCAACAGUGAUAGACGGUCUUGCUGUCACUUAUAGAUGGAUCCGCGCCGCAUUAGCUAGUUGGUAAGGUAACGGCUUACCAAGGCGACGAUGCGUAGCCGACCUGAGAGGGUGAUCGGCCACACUGGAACUGAGACACGGUCCAGACUCCUACGGGAGGCAGCAGUAGGGAAUCUUCCGCAAUGGGCGAAAGCCUGACGGAGCAACGCCGCGUGGGUGAAGAAGGUCUUCGGAUCGUAAAGCUCUGUUAUUAGGAAAGAACAACUGUGUAAGUAACUAUGCACGUCUUGACGGUACCUAAUGAGAAAGCCACGGCUAACUACGUG
rnacentral:rRNA from 1 species